AUGUAUAUGUGUGUGAGAGAGACAGUGCCUGCAUUCCAGCCUGCCUGCCAGAUUGCUCACACUUUGCGGAUCACUUCCCUACGGUGCCUAGACACCCAGGGUUCUGUGUUGGACACCAUGAAGAACACAGCAGUGGAUAACACAGCCUUGCCCUUGGGAUUUCACAGGCAGUCCAAGAACAAAAGCCAUGAGAGCCUCACAGAGGCUCAUGUAAAAGCAUCAGAGCAUCUUGUAAAAGCAGAGAAGGGAGAGACUUCUUCCCUAUGGGGAAGAGAAGAGAGUCUUCAGGGAAGAGGGAGCCCUGGAGGAGGUCACGAAUGAUAAGAAGAGCUUUGUGUUCUCUACCCUGAGGAAGUCCCUCCUCCACUUCUGAGAAGCCCAGGUUCUACUUUGACCUUACCAGAGUUACAGGACGGCAGGGUGGGGGAGGGCUGUAGAAUGGGGAAGAGUCUGUACACCUGCUAUGUAUGGCUGUUGGUGGGUUUUUCUUUGUGCCUUUUUUUUCCUGUUUGUUUAAUGCAUAUUUUUUCCUCCUGCCUUCAGGACACAGUGACCUAUAUUUCAGUUUUGGCAAGGGACAAUGCCAGAGUGUGGGAAGGAAGAGCCCUGGGCAGAGAUAGUUAAACUUUGGCAGGCUAAUGUUUGAUGCUGCUUCAUUGCCUUCUUACUUUUAAAUAUAAGAACCACACCAUCCAGAGAAGGAACAAAGACAGGUGACCUCUCAAGACCCUUUUCAACUACUCUGACUCUGAAGUACCCAGGAAUAUAUUUUUUUAAAUGCAUGUAAACACUAGAUGCAUAGGACCCCCUGAGCGUUCCUAAAAUAUGUCUUGGACCCUCUUACUGCUCUGCUUAACAGCUUCAAUGAGUAUCUCCUAUCUAGAGAAAAAACUUCAAAUUCCUCAUGGUGGCAUUCAAGACACUUCAAAUUCUAGCCUCUACCUUGGCACCUGCUACUUUCUUCCGAUCUCCCACCAGACAUACCAAGCCAUAUGUUCCUCCCUGCACAUACUGGCUCUAUCCCCCAUGACAGCUCAGCCAAUUCUCUACCACCUUGCCCCAUCUCUCUAAGUCCCACUCACCUUCCUGCCCCAGUUCAGAAUUCAUCGUCUUUGGGAAGUCUCCCCACUCCCAUCUGCCACCUUCCCAGGCAAAAUCAACUUCUUUCUCCUUUGAGUUUCCAUUAUCAUUCAAUUUUUUUCUGUUACACUUUUCUUAACCUGCCUUGGAAUCCAGCAAGCUGUGCUCAUUCCUGUCUGUUGCUAAAGACUAAAAGCUCUCUGAGGGAAGAGUAAAAUAUAGACUUCUCUCUUUCUGCCAC
rnacentral:lncRNA from 1 species